UACAGAGGGUGCAAGCGUUGUUCGGAAUUAUUGGGCGUAAAGGGCGUGUAGGCGGUUUGCUAAGUCAUGUGUGAAAUCCCUCGGCUUAACCGAGGAACGACGCAUGAUACUGGCAAGCUAGAGUACCAAAGAGGGGGGUGGAAUUCUCGGUGUAGCGGUGAAAUGCGUAGAUAUCGAGAGGAACACCUGCGGCGAAGGCGGGUUGCUGGGCCGACACUGACGCUGAUGCGCGAAAGCCAGGGGAGCGAACGGG
rnacentral:rRNA from 1 species